UACGAAGGGGGCUAGCGUUGCUCGGAUUGACUGGGCGUAAAGGGCGCGUAGGCGGUUCGUACAGUCAGACGUGAAAUUCCUGGGCUCAACCUGGGGGCUGCUUUGAUACGUGCGGACUUGAGUGCGGAAGAGGGUCGUGGAAUUCCCAGUGUAGGAGGUGAAAUUCGUAGAUAUUGGGAAGAACACCGGUGGCGAAGGCGGCGACCUGGUCCGAUACUGACGCUGAGGCGCGAAAGCGUGGGGGAGCAAACAGG
rnacentral:rRNA from 1 species